GACGAACCGUCCGAACGUUAUUCGGAAUCACUGGGCUUAAAGGGUGCGUAGGCGGCGCAGAAAGUAGGGUGUGAAAUCCCUCGGCUCAACCGAGGAACUGCGCCCUAAACUACUGUGCUUGAGGGAGAUAGAGGUGAGCGGAACUUAGGGUGGAGCGGUGAAAUGCGUUGAUAUCCUAAGGAACACCGGUGGCGAAAGCGGCUCACUGGAUCUCUUCUGACGCUGAGGCACGAAAGCUAGGGUAGCAAACGGG
rnacentral:rRNA from 1 species